CUUGGACUAUUUUGGGACAACAAAAUAAAAUAGAUUAACUUGCUUCACUCAAAUCCAAAGAAGGGACAACCAAUUUUCCAAGUGGAAUCGUUGAGACCUGGAACAGAUCUCCCUUGUUACACAACUGGUUUGGAAACUUAAAUAUCUUAGUUUCUCUCCUAAUGGUUUAGUGCAAAUUAUCUUUAAUAACAUAGGAUCAACUCACAAAUAGUCAACCAAACCUGAAACUUAACUGUCGUAGUGGUUUCCUUUUGUUGUACAGAUCAUCACACUGCACAUGAAUAGAACAAUUCAUAUGUAAAAUUUUGGGGGAAGAAAAAAAAAUAAAAGAGAAUAAUCAAGCUGGUAAACAAAAAAAAUAUUUUUCCAGAUGAAAUUUUAGAUUCUAAACUUUCUAAAUCUCCUUCUCACUUUGGUUUACACACAAAUGAUUGACUGAAAACAGAAAUAAAUGCAGAGGUAAUAUUAACAACUUCAUGACGAUUCCUAUAGUUCACAUUCAGACUUGAUUGAAUAUAUGCAUCUGAAAACCA
rnacentral:misc_RNA from 1 species